AGGACUACGCUGGCGGCGUGCUUAACACAUGCAAGUUGAACGGAGUGCUCCAAGCAGCAAUGUGAGGAGUGCUUAGUAGCGGACGGGUGAGUAACGCGUGAGCAAUCUGCCUUUGUGAGGGGGACAACACCGGGAAACCGGUGCUAAUACCGCAUGAGACCACGGAAUCGAGUGAUACUGAGGUCAAAGAUUUAUCGCACAAAGAUGAGCUCGCGUCCCAUUAGCUGGUUGGUGAGGUAACGGCCCACCAAGGCGACGAUGGGUAGCCGACCUGAGAGGGUGAUCGGCCACACUGGAACUGAGAUACGGUCCAGACUCCUACGGGAGGCAGCAGUGGGGAAUAUUGGGCAAUGGGCGCAAGCCUGACCCAGCAACGCCGCGUGAGGGAAGAAGGUCUUCGGAUUGUAAACCUCUGUCCGUUGGGGACGAAAAAAAUGACGGUACCCAAGGAGGAAGCUCCGGCUAACUACGUG
rnacentral:rRNA from 1 species